CCUACGGGAGACAGCAGUGGGGAAUAUUGCACAAUGGGCGAAAGCCUGAUGCAGCAACGCCGCGUGAAGGAAGACGGUUUUCGGAUUGUAAACUUCUGUUCAUAGUGAAGAAUAAUGACGGUAACUAAGGAGCAAGCCACGGCUAACUACGUGCCAGCAGCCGCGGUAAUACGUAGGUGGCAAGCGUUGUCCGGAAUUACUGGGUGUAAAGGGAGCGUAGGCGGGAAGCCAAGUCAGCUGUGAAAACUACGGGCUUAACCUGUAGACUGCAGUUGAAACUGGCUUUCUUGAGUGAAGUAGAGGUUGGCGGAAUGCCGGGUGUAGCGGUGAAAUGCUUAGAUAUUCGGAGGAACUCCGAUGGCGAAGGCAGCCAACUGGGCUUUAACUGACGCUGAUGCUCGAAAGUGUGGGUAGCAAACAGGAUUAGAUACCCCGGUAGUC
rnacentral:rRNA from 1 species